GUAGCGAAGGGCUGGAGGCAAACACCGAGCUCCCCCUGAGCCGCCUGGGAGCAGGGAGGGUUCUGCUACCCUGAGGGGCCCUCCCCGCGGGGCAGAGGGGACCAGCCCAACAUGGCUUCCAACACAGAGACCAGAAGGACCCAAUAAGAGACCAAAGACACGACUGAUAAUACAGAAAGGAGGGUGAUGCUGUGUGCAAGGCAGAUACAAGAUGGUUUUUCCAUAAGAGGAAGUGAUCAUGGCAACCAUGACCUUCUCUGACCUUCUCUCUUCCAAGAGGCUGUUGGGAAGGUGGGAUGACCUAGGAUUGACCUUGGACUUGACAUCACAGAAGCCAUUUCAACCUUCACAGGUGGAAGUCACAGCAUCUACUGAAUCUGUGCUUGCCUUGAGGAAAAACGGCAUGGCACAGGAAUGUGGACGCUUUCAACCAGAGGAUUCUGUACGACAGUGUCGGCACACAAGGAGUGUUCCA
ensembl:processed_transcript 2210408F21Rik RIKEN cDNA 2210408F21 gene